rnacentral:rRNA from 1 species
GUAACCUGGUUGAUCCUGCCAGUGUCAUAUGCUUGUCUCAAAGAUUAAGCCAUGCAUGUCUUAGUGUAAAUAACUCUUAUGAAACUGCGAAUGGCUCAUUAAAUCAGUUAUCAAAUACGUGAUGGUCGCCUACUACAUGGAUAACCGUAGUAAUUCUAGGGCUAAUACAUGCACAAAGGCCCACGCAAGUGAGU